UAUAUAUUGGACACUGAAUUGGUGCUCCAUGGAGCAAGGGCACCAAGAUUUAUGCACAAAUCCAAACCAAAUUUGGUCGACGCCACCGUGGCAGUGUUCUUCGGCACUCGGGUCAACAUAGUAGGUUUCUCCUUGUCAUUGACAGCAUCGGUUAGCAUAGGGGCAGCGGUCGCGGUCACGGUCACCCGAGGAGCACAGCUACACGGGGCUGGUCCUGCUGCCACCAGAGAAGAGCGGAGGAGGUCGAUACAAGGUCGAGGAGGGGCACGGGCGAGGUUCAUGCCGCACGGGGGCACGCGGCGUCCAGCAAGAGAAGGCUUCUCCUGUUCCCGUGCCGCCAGGCACCCCUCACCGCCGCCCUACUUGUCCUCCGGUCAUCGGUGCUCUGUUGGUUGCUGGAUUUUGCUUAUCUGCCGGCAGACCGCACCGGAGGCCGCCGCCAUAUAGGGGCUGAUGAGGGCAUCGUGAUGAGGUUGCCGCUUUUGCCAUAGCAGAGGGGAUCCAGCCGGCACGCUGUGUCUCCCAUAAACAUGCCUAAUUUUAUAUGCAGAGGGAGAUACAUUGACAGGAAGUGCUCACUCGCUAAAAUUGUUUCUAUCAGGGGCAGAAUUAUUGUUGAAACACGCACCGUGUGAAGAUGAAUAUGAACCUUUCAUAAUUAUUCCCAAACAUGCCACUGUGUCAUCAUUGGCCAGUGCAGGUAUUGCUCUCUAGCUGAUAUAUUGUUUAGUUCUUCUUGGUUUCAAUUAUGUUGGCCCUCCUUAAGAUUGUUUGGGAAUGUGAGGCUUUAAAGUUUCAACCUUGUGCAAGGCUCCAAAGCUUUACCAGUUUUCUACUUGCUUCAAAUGAAUUUGUCAUUGAAGAAACCAUGAAUUCUUUUGUUUUCUUUUUGACCUACACAUAACCUUUCAUGGGAAGAUAGUGUGUCAUUUCCCCAUUAGGGUUGGAGUACUUGAUGUAUGUGUUGUAUUAGUGACGUGGUCGUAACAAGCAACCAUAAAUAUUGUUUUUGAUUUCCUUGGAUGAAGACACUUUUAUGUGACAACCAUAUGUUUACUAAUA